rnacentral:rRNA from 1 species
UACGUAGGGGGCGAGCGUUAUCCGGAUUUACUGGGUGUAAAGGGAGCGUAGACGGCUAUGCAAGCUCGGUGUGAAAGGUGCGAGCACAACCCGCAGACUGCACUGAGAACUGUAUGGCUGGAGUGCCGGAGGGGCAGGCGGAAUUCCUGGUGUAGCGGUGAAAUGCGUAGAUAUCAGGAGGAACACCGGUGGCGAAGGCGGCCUGCUGGACGGCGACUGACGUUGAGGCUCGAAAGCGUGGGGAGCGAACAGG